UUUUAUGGAGAGUUUGAUCCUGGCUCAGGAUGAACGCUGGCGGCGUGCCUAAUACAUGCAAGUCGAGCGAACAGACGAGGAGCUUGCUCCUCUGACGUUAGCGGCGGACGGGUGAGUAACACGUGGAUAACCUACCUAUAAGACUGGGAUAACUUCGGGAAACCGGAGCUAAUACCGGAUAAUAUAUUGAACCGCAUGGUUCAAUAGUGAAAGACGGUUUUGCUGUCACUUAUAGAUGGAUCCGCGCCGCAUUAGCUAGUUGGUAAGGUAACGGCUUACCAAGGCAACGAUGCGUAGCCGACCUGAGAGGGUGAUCGGCCACACU
rnacentral:rRNA from 1 species